rnacentral:lncRNA from 1 species
AAAGCCGCUUGCAAGACUGCACCUUCUACUGGAGGAGUGAAGAAACCGAUCAUUUCAGGCCUGGUACUGUGGCAUUCUGUGAAAUUAGACGUUACCACAAGUCCACUGAACUGAUUUGCAAACUCCCCUCCAGCAUCUGGUGAGAGAAAUUGCUCAGGAUUUUAAAACAGAUCUGUGCUUCCAGAGUGCAGCUAUUGGUGCUUUGCAGAAGGCAAGUGAGGCCUAUCUGGUUGGCCUUUUUGAAAACACCAACCUGUAUGCUAUCUAUCCAUGCCAAACAUGUAACAAUUGUGCUGAAAGAUAUCCAGCUAGCAUGACACAUACAUGGAGAGCG